UACGAAGGGGGCUAGCGUUGUUCGGAAUUACUGGGCGUAAAGCGCGCGUAGGCGGUGAUCCAUGUCAGAGGUGAAAUCCCGGGGCUCAACUCCGGAACUGCCUUUGAAACGGGAUCGCUAGAGUCCGAGAGAGGAUGGCGGAAUUCCUAGUGUAGAGGUGAAAUUCGUAGAUAUCGGGAGGAACACCGGUGGCGAAGGCGGCGGCCUGGGUUGACACUGACGCUGAGGCGCGAAAGCGUGGGGAGCAAACAGG
rnacentral:rRNA from 1 species